GGACCUGACCGCUAUCGGACUUGGUACUAACCAUGACGAAGUCAUUGUAAGCAAUACAAGGCGGACGGUCAGUAACACGUAGAUCAAUCUAUCCUCUACGGACGGGGAUAACCUCGGGAAACUGAGAAUAAUACCCGAUAGAUUAUAACUUCCUGGAAUGGUUUAUGGUCCAAAUGAUUUAUCGCCAUAGGAUGGGACUGCGGCCUAUACAGCUUGUUGGUGAGGUAAUGGCCCACCAAGGCUAUAACAGGUACGGGCUCUGAGAGGACGAAGCCCGGAGAUGGGUACUGAGACACGGACCCAGGCCCUAUGGGGCGCAGCAGGCGAGAAACCUUAGCAAUGUGCGAAAAGCACGACUAGGUUUAAUCCGAGUGAUUUCUGCUGAAGAAAUCUUUUGUCAGUUUCUAAAUCUACUGGUGAAUAAGGGGUGGGCAAGUCUGGUGUCAGCCGUCCCGGUUAAUACCAGCACCUCGAGUCGGCUUAGGAGGUUUAUUGGGCCUUAAGCAUUCCGUAGCCGGCUAUGCAAGUCUCCGGUUAAAUCCAUCUGCUUAACAGAUGGGCUGCCGGAGAUACUACAUAGCUAGGGAGUCGGGAGAGGUAGACGGUAUUCGGUGGGUCAGGGGUAAAAUCCUCUGAUCCAUUGAGGACCACCAGUGGCGAAGGCGGUCUACCAGAACGCGUUCGACGGUGAGGGAUGAAAGCUGGGGGAGCAAACCGGAUUAGAUACCCGGGUAGUCCCAGCUGUAAACUGAUGCAAACUCGGUGAUGCACUGGCUUAUGGCCAGUGCAGUGCCGCAGGGAGGCGUUAAGUUUGCCGCCUGGGAAGUACGGUCGCAAGACUGAAACUUAAAGGAAUUGCCGGGGUAGCACCACAAGGGGUGAAGCCUGCGGUUC
rnacentral:rRNA from 1 species